UUCAAGACUGGCUGAUGAAGGUUGGGCCAAACUAUUCAAUUGAUGGGCUGACUUCAGAUUCAAAUGGACUGACCCAGAAAAUGCAUGGGCUGAUUGGCGGGCUGCUGAGUUCUUUGGCCAAACUUGGCUGUUCAAGUGGGCUUCAAAUGACCCAACUAUUGGGCUUUUGGGCUGAAGAAGCUGAACUUCACAUGGGCUUCAAGUGGCUGCUCGGUUGAAAAUCACGGGGCUCCUGGGCCCGUGAAAUUGAAGGUUGCUGGGCCGAAAUCCAUCGGCUUCGUGCGGGGCAGCAAGUCCGGUCAACAGAGACAGCGAAGGAGUUGAGGAAGCUGGACUUCGGUGACCGCUUGAUGAUGAACGUUGACUGGAGAAGCAGCUGGCGUGCGCAGGGGUCUU
rnacentral:lncRNA from 1 species